GGAAGCAUGUGGACGGUCUGGUCAUCGGGCUCAAACAGACGGACGCUCUGGAGUCGGUGUACAGAGCGGAGAGGCACGCCCACGCCAUGCACGACCACGCCCUCUCGAUGAAAAGCGCCUUGUCGUCCAUGUGUAACUUCUCUCACAACGGCACUCGUCACUUCCGAACGGACGGCGAUGUAACAGAACAGGUUAACUCCGCCCACCAGGAAGCGCUGAGUGCCGAAAGCUCCGCCUCCUUUGCUGUCACCAUGAGCGUCCUCUCUGACCAGUCUCUGUCCGAGGAGGGCGGGCUCAUACUCAACGCCAGCGCCACUGUUUUAGAGCAAAGCGAAAGGGUUAACAGCUCUGCCACAGGUGAGUACGUCCAGGUGGUUGGUUGCCAGAGCCUAACAGACCUAAAGAAAAUACUAAACGUCUGA
rnacentral:lncRNA from 1 species